rnacentral:rRNA from 1 species
UGGGGAAUAUUGCACAAUGGGCGCAAGCCUGAUGCAGCCAUGCCGCGUGUAUGAAGAAGGCCUUCGGGUUGUAAAGUACUUUCAGCGAGGAGGAAGGCGUUGUGGUUAAUAACCGCAGCGAUUGACGUUACUCGCAGAAGAAGCACCGGCUAACUCCGUGCCAGCAGCCGCGGUAAUACGGAGGGUGCAAGCGUUAAUCGGAAUUACUGGGUGUAAAGCGCACGCAGGCGGUCUGGCAAGUCGGAUGUGAAAUCCCCGGGCUCAACCUGGGAACUGCAUCCGAAACUGGCAGGCUAGAGUCUUGUAGAGGGGGGUAGAAUUCCAGGUGUAGCGGUGAAAUGCGUAGAGAUCUGGAGGAAUACCGGUGGCGAAGGCGGCCCCCUGGACAAAGACUGACGCUCAGGUGCGAAAGCGUGGGGAGCAAACA